AUGCCCCUGGGCUGGGAAACAAGUGUGCGGUGCAGAGUGGGGGCAAGAAUCCCCCUCGGCGGUGGCCCCUGCCUCGCCCCGCUUCGCCCCUCCCGAGUCCGGGUUGCGGCGCUUCCUGGGCGGAUGGUUGGGACUCGCCGCAGCAGCUGCGGUUCUGCUGUGUCAUGCAAGAAGGAGGCGGCGGCGGCGGCGUUCGGAGCUGGAGGGGGAGGAGGGGAGGAACCUGAUCUCUCCGGUAGCGAAGGGCUGGAGGCAAACACCGAGCUCCCCCAGAGCCGCCCGGGAGCAGGGAGGGCACCGCUACCCCGAGGGGCCCUCCCCGCGGGGCAGAUGGUCCUGGGUGAUGACAAAAAGAGCAAUUUGCUUUUCCUCGUCUAUCUCACUCCAUCAUACCACCUUGCAUCAGUUGAUGGAGUCUGGAGAAUCCCUUUCGGUGCCACUACAGCUCUGUAAUACACUGUAACCACUCACCAGGAUGCCCAGCCCCAGUUUCCCAUCAAAGGCAAAGAUGACUUUUUAUCAGGAAGAGCUGUAUCACCUCUUAGAGAAACCACCAGCUUCUCAGUCCACAGAAAGGUGCUCCUGCCCUCAGGAGAGAAUGUAGAGAAUAUCAAAGGAGAAAAGGUUUUGACUUUGUCCUGAGAAUAUGGAAACCUGUUAUGACCUUUCAUUCCAGUGUCCUUGAAUUAGAAACUAAAGUAACAGAUGUAGUUUAAACAACAUUUUAAUGUUAUGACAUCCUGUAUUAUUUAGUUAGACUGGGGGUUGGCAAACUUUUUCUGUAAAGGGCCAGAUGGGAAAUAUUUUAGGCUUUGUGGUCCAUUCUCUGUCCUAACUACUCAACCCUACCAUUGUAGUGUGAAAGCCACCAUAGAUAAUACGUAAAUGAAUGAGCACGGCUGGGUGUCAAUUAAACUUUAUUUAUGGAUCCCAAGGUUUGAAUUUCAUAUAAUUUUCACAUGUUGCAAAGUAUCAUUUUUUAAAAUAAAAUCUUACUCAGCUACUUAAAAAUGUGAAAACCAUUCUUAACUCACAGACCAUACAAAAACAAGGGGUGUGCUGGAUUUGGCUUAUGGGCAGUGGUUUGACAACCUCUGAUUUAGACAAAAAUGAAGACCAUGUCAUGAGAAAGAUUUUUCAGGUUCAGACUUUGGAAGAAAAUCAUCUGUUUUAUGGAUACCCCUUUAUUUUAACUACUCAAAUGUAUUUGAACAUAUAAACACAUUUGCCUUCACCUGACUUAUUUGGGAAUGACAUAUGUCUUCUUAGUUCAGUAUUGAUUUAAGACUUUGCUCCUUCUCUUCCUUGUAGUGAAUAAAUGUGCAUGGAUGUAGUAUUUUUAUAAAGCAAACUGAAGAAUUCUUACUAGUCGACUAUAAAUACCCAAACCAAAAGGGC
rnacentral:lncRNA from 1 species